GACGAAGGAUGCAAGCGUUAUCCGGAUUCACUGGGUUUAAAGGGUGCGUAGGUGGGCAGGUAAGUCAGUGGUGAAAUCUCCGGGCUUAACCCGGAAACUGCCAUUGAUACUAUCUGUCUUGAAUACCGUGGAGGUGAGCGGAAUAUGUCAUGUAGCGGUGAAAUGCUUAGAUAUGACAUAGAACACCAAUUGCGAAGGCAGCUCACUACGCGAAUAUUGACACUGAGGCACGAAAGCGUGGGGAUCAAACAGG
rnacentral:rRNA from 1 species